GGGCACGUAGCUCAGUGCUAGAGCAUCUGCUUUGCAUGCAAAAGGUUCAAUCCCCAGCAUCUCCA